rnacentral:rRNA from 3 species
AGAGUUUGAUCCUGGCUCAGGAUGAACGCUGGCGGCGUGCCUAAUACAUGCAAGUCGAGCGAACGGACGAGAAGCUUGCUUCUCUGAUGUUAGCGGCGGACGGGUGAGUAACACGUGGAUAACCUACCUAUAAGACUGGGAUAACUUCGGGAAACCGGAGCUAAUACCGGAUAAUAUUUUGAACCGCAUGGUUCAAAAGUGAAAGACGGUCUUGCUGUCACUUAUAGAUGGAUCCGCGCUGCAUUAGCUAGUUGGUAAGGUAACGGCUUACCAAGGCAACGAUGCAUAGCCGACCUGAGAGGGUGAUCGGCCACACUGGAACUGAGACACGGUCCAGACUCCUACGGGAGGCAGCAGUAGGGAAUCUUCCGCAAUGGGCGAAAGCCUGACGGAGCAACGCCGCGUGAGUGAUGAAGGUCUUCGGAUCGUAAAACUCUGUUAUUAGGGAAGAACAUAUGUGUAAGUAACUGUGCACAUCUUGACGGUACCUAAUCAGAAAGCCACGGCUAACUACGUGCCAGCAGCCGCGGUAAUACGUAGGUGGCAAGCGUUAUCCGGAAUUAUUGGGCGUAAAGCGCGCGUAGGCGGUUUUUUAAGUCUGAUGUGAAAGCCCACGGCUCAACCGUGGAGGGUCAUUGGAAACUGGAAAACUUGAGUGCAGAAGAGGAAAGUGGAAUUCCAUGUGUAGCGGUGAAAUGCGCAGAGAUAUGGAGGAACACCAGUGGCGAAGGCGACUUUCUGGUCUGUAACUGACGCUGAUGUGCGAAAGCGUGGGGAUCAAACAGGAUUAGAUACCCUGGUAGUCCACGCCGUAAACGAUGAGUGCUAAGUGUUAGGGGGUUUCCGCCCCUUAGUGCUGCAGCUAACGCAUUAAGCACUCCGCCUGGGGAGUACGACCGCAAGGUUGAAACUCAAAGGAAUUGACGGGGACCCGCACAAGCGGUGGAGCAUGUGGUUUAAUUCGAAGCAACGCGAAGAACCUUACCAAAUCUUGACAUCCUUUGACAACUCUAGAGAUAGAGCCUUCCCCUUCGGGGGACAAAGUGACAGGUGGUGCAUGGUUGUCGUCAGCUCGUGUCGUGAGAUGUUGGGUUAAGUCCCGCAACGAGCGCAACCCUUAAGCUUAGUUGCCAUCAUUAAGUUGGGCACUCUAAGUUGACUGCCGGUGACAAACCGGAGGAAGGUGGGGAUGACGUCAAAUCAUCAUGCCCCUUAUGAUUUGGGCUACACACGUGCUACAAUGGACAAUACAAAGGGCAGCGAAACCGCGAGGUCAAGCAAAUCCCAUAAAGUUGUUCUCAGUUCGGAUUGUAGUCUGCAACUCGACUACAUGAAGCUGGAAUCGCUAGUAAUCGUAGAUCAGCAUGCUACGGUGAAUACGUUCCCGGGUCUUGUACACACCGCCCGUCACACCACGAGAGUUUGUAACACCCGAAGCCGGUGGAGUAACCUUUUAGGAACUAGCCGUCGAAGGUGGGACAAAUGAUUGGGGUGAAGUCGUAACAAGGUAGCCGUAUCGGAAGGUGCGGCUGGAUCACCU